AUUGAACGCUGGCGGCAGGCCUAACACAUGCAAGUCGAGCGGAUGAAGGGAGCUUGCUCCUGGAUUCAGCGGCGGACGGGUGAGUAAUGCCUAGGAAUCUGCCUGGUAGUGGGGGAUAACGUCCGGAAACGGGCGCUAAUACCGCAUACGUCCUGAGGGUGAAAGUGGGGGAUCUUCGGACCUCACGCUAUCAGAUGAGCCUAGGUCGGAUUAGCUAGUUGGUGGGGUAAAGGCCUACCAAGGCGACGAUCCGUAACUGGUCUGAGAGGAUGAUCAGUCACACUGGAACUGAGACACGGUCCAGACUCCUACGGGAGGCAGCAGUGGGGAAUAUUGGACAAUGGGCGAAAGCCUGAUCCAGCCAUGCCGCGUGUGUGAAGAAGGUCUUCGGAUUGUAAAGCACUUUAAGUUGGGAGGAAGGGCAGUAAGUUAAUACCUUGCUGUUUUGACGUUACCAACAGAAUAAGCACCGGCUAAUUUCGUG
rnacentral:rRNA from 1 species